UAGCGUCACAAUGGGAAUCGAACUCACGAACUGUUCCCCGGAUUCCUUCUCAGGAAUGCUGCUGCUCCAGAAUUCGUUAUUUCCACUUCUACGCUCUCUCUUUGGUGCACGCCGCUGUCUGUCACAGGAGCUCUCGACGGGGAUUGGUCCCCUGCGACAUCCGAAUCUGUUGGGUUUAAACGAGGCCCAAUAAUGAACUGGCUAGAAUAUCCCAUGGAUAUAAAGACCUACUGCCCUUCUGCUGGGGACCCACUGAAUACUGUGGAAUUAACUUCAGAAAACAAAUAGUGAAAAAGUCACUGACCAAUAAGCAGUUGGUGAUGGGAGAGGAGCUCUGAAGAGAGAUUAGAAAUGGAAAGGCUUCCUGGAUAGGAGAUGGUAAGGAUGAAGAUCGUGUAAAAACAAAAGGUACCAAUGAAAAGGAAAAAGAAAAAAAAAGUAACACACUGGAUGUUCCCAAAUAGUGGUCCCUUUUUUAAAAGUUUAAAAAAAUUUUCAUCUUUUAAAAAUUUUGAGUUCAAAAGAAUAGACUGAUCAAUCACUUCUCCAGACACUCUGAACAAUCCCUGCGCUUGUAACUACUAAGUGAACUGAACCAGCUGCUGCACUCUUCUUCUUCCCACACUAACUGGUUCUGCACCCUGCUGAACAGGCUAAAUAUCCCUUAAGACUUGAGAGAAUCACAAGGCUCAGUGAUUCUAAUCCUUGGAAACUGUUCCAACAGGACCUAAGAAUGCCUGUAUUGUCCCCCAAAUGCCUGCACUUGUGGACCUGCCGUGGAAACUGUGCAGUCAAGACCUAAGAAUGACUGUGCUGGGUCCUGCCUUUUUUGCAGUUUUUUUCAUGUUUAAAAACCCUACCCCUGCCUCAAGUAAAUAAGCCUUCUUUCUCAGGGGAACUUUGGUUUGCAAACCUGUUUUCCUCACUUUGAAAUUAAACUGAUAUUUGA